rnacentral:sRNA from 1 species
CUCUGCAUUUCCCUCCUUUCCUGGGUGAGGCUGAUGCUGCUGGCCUGGAGUCCCGGCAGCUGAUUUCUCACUGGUCUCCUGGCCUCUACCCUUGGUCCUUGUCCAUCUGUCCUCCUGACCUGUGAUCUGGUGUGUGCAUCCCUCCAGGGGCUGCCCUGGGAGCUCCCUGCUGCCUCUCCAGCCUCGACCUGCACCCUCGUGUGCUACUCUCUGCCCCAGCCAGGCUGGCAUUUUGCAGCCAUGCAGCCUGGCUCUGUGUCCUGCUGUCUGCCCCAGCCAGGCUGGCUUUUUGCAGCCAGGCAGCCCAGCUCUGUCUUGCUCUCUGCCCCAGUCAGGCUGGAAUUUUGCAGCCAGGUGGCUCGGCUCUGUGUGCUGCCUGCUCAGCUGCAGUGCCUGGCGCUAACCCUAGAAGUCCCUGCCCCUGACCUGAGCGAGGAGCCGGUGGGAAACUCCCUGCUACACCAGCUGUGCAGCUGCACGGAGGCCUUCUUCCUGGGCCUGCGCGUCAAGUGCCUGCCGUCGGUGGCAGCCGCGUCCAUCCGCUGCUCCUCGCGGCCCAGCCGGGACUCUGACAGGCUCCAGCUCCACACAGACGGCAUCCUGUCCUUCUUGAAGAACAACAAGCCAGGGGACGCGCUGUGUGUGCUGGGCCUCACACUGUCUGACCUGUACCCCCACGAGGCCUGGAGCUUCACCUUCAGCAAGUUCCUUCCAGGGCACGAAGUGGGCAUCUGCAGCUUCGCCCGGUUCUCAGGGGAAUUCCCGAAGUCGGGGCCCAGCGCCCCUGAUCCGGCCCUGGUAGAGGCAGCAGCAGACGGCCCUGAGGCCCCCCUGCA